rnacentral:rRNA from 1 species
CCUACGGGUGGCAGCAGUGGGGAAUAUUGCACAAUGGGGGAAACCCUGAUGCAGCGACGCCGCGUGUAGGAAGACGGUCCUCUGGAUUGUAAACUACUGUCCCCAGGGACGAAGAUGACGGUACCUGGGGAGGAAGCUCUGGCUAACUACGUGCCAGCAGCCGCGGUAAUCCGUGGGGAGCGAGCGUUGUCCGGAAUUACUGGGGGUAAAGGGAGCGUAGGCGGGGAGGCAAGUUGGAUGUUAAGUCUACCGGCUCAACUGGUAGUCGCACUCAAAACUACAGCUCUUGAGUGAAGGAGAGGCAGGCGGAAUUCCUAGUGUAGCGGUGAAAUGCGUAGAUAUUAGGAGGAACACCAGUAGCGAAGGCGGAUUGCUGGACAGUAACUGACGCUGAGGCGCGAAAGCGUGGGGAGCAAACAGGAUUAGAUACCCGUGUAGUC